GACGAACGCUGGCGGCGUGCUUAACACAUGCAAGUCGAACGGAAAGGCACUGAUUUCUUGGGGUGCCCGAGUGGCGAACGGGUGAGUAACACGUAAGUAACCUGAUCUUGUUUUUGGGAUAACUUCAGGAAACUGGGCCUACUACCGGAUAGCAGCUCACGCUGCAUGGUGGGCGUUGGAACGUCUCGGCGGGUGGGGAUGGAUUGGCGGCUUAUCAGCUAGCUGGUGGGCUAGUUGCUUACCAAGGAUUGGACCGGUAGCCGGCAUGUGAGGGUGACCGGCCACAUUGGGACUGCGAUACGGCGCAGACUCCUACAGGAGGCAGCAGUGGGGAGUAUGGCACAAUGAGCGGGAGUCUGAGGCAGCGGCGCCGCGUGCGGGAUGACGGCCUUCGGGUUGUGAACCGCUUUCGCCUGAGACGACGCGUGAGUGACGGUAAUGGGUAAAGAAGCACCGGCUAACUACGUG
rnacentral:rRNA from 1 species